AUGAUGAGAGCUCGAGCUCAUAGAGCGGCUUCUCUAAAAGCAGCUUUGGAUGGUAUGUUUCUUAAACAUGGCUUGUCUAUGUCUAAAUUGAGAGGGCAAGGGUACGAUGGAGCUUCUAACAUGAGAGUGCAAUUUUGGACGUUAAGUUUUUCUCUCGUGACAAAAAAAAAAAAAUUGGGCCCGGGGCUUGCUCCAAUCCUGGAUCCGCCACUGCACCGUGGAUGUUGGUUGCUGCCUGCCCUCUACCACCAUAGGUCAUCGGCCACCUCGAGUUUUCCCCAUCGGUCGUCGACUACGCUGCUCCGACUCGUGCCGUCCCCUCCUCCUUCCCUUGUGUACCCUCAACAAUGGCUAGCGACUGGAAUAGUGGCAGGACAGGCGGCGAUAUCCUCCCUACAGCUCUACCGCCAUGGAUGCGCCACAGAUUCACAUGGGUUGACCGUUUCUGCCAUGGAUCUGACUCAUGGUGGACUGCAUCGACCAUCGUGA
rnacentral:rRNA from 1 species